rnacentral:rRNA from 1 species
UACAGAGGGGGCAAGCGUUGUUCGGAAUUACUGGGCGUAAAGGGCGCGUAGGCGGCCUGCUAAGUCGAACGUGAAAUCCCCAGGCUCAACCCGGGAACUGCGUCCGAUACUGGUUGGCUUGAAUCCGGGAGAGGGAUGCGGAAUUCCAGGUGUAGCGGUGAAAUGCGUAGAUAUCUGGAGGAACACCGGUGGCGAAGGCGGCAUCCUGGACCGGCAUUGACGCUGAGGCGCGAAAGCCAGGGGAGCAAACGGG